GGGGAAUAUUGGACAAUGGGGGCAACCCUGAUCCAGCGACGCCGCGUGUGUGAAGAAGGCCUGCGGGUUGUAAAGCACUUUUAGUGGGGAUGAAAAGCUCAGUUCUAAUACAGCUGGGUCUUGACCUAACCCAAAGAAAAAGCACCGGCUAACUCUGUGCCAGCAGCCGCGGUAAUACAGAGGGUGCAAGCGUUAAUCGGAAUUACUGGGCGUAAAGCGUGCGCAGUCGGUUAUUUAAGUCGGAUGUGAAAUCCCCGGGCUCAACCUGGGAAUUGCAUUCGAUACUGGAUAGCUAGAGUUCGGCAGAGGGAAGCGGAAUUUCGGGUGUAGCGGUGAAAUGCGUAGAUAUCCGAAGGAACAUCAGUGGCGAAAGCGGCUUCCUGGACCAGAACUGACGAUCAGGCACGAAAGCGUGGGGAGCAAAC
rnacentral:rRNA from 1 species